rnacentral:rRNA from 1 species
GACGAACGCUGGCGGCGUGCUUAACACAUGCAAGUCGAACGGAAAGGCCCUGCUUUUGUGGGGUGCUCGAGUGGCGAACGGGUGAGUAACACGUGAGUUACCUGCCCUUGACUUUGGGAUAACUUCAGGCAACUGGGGCUAAUACCGGAUAGGAGCUCCUGCUGCAUGGUGGGGGUUGGAAAGUUUCGGCGGUUGGGGAUGGAAUCGCGGCGUAUGGGAUUGGUGGUGGGGUGGUGGCAUACCAAGGCUUGGAGGGGUAGCAGACCUGGGAGGGUAGGCGGACACGCCAGACCGGGAAUGAGACCCAGCCUAGAAUCCGACGGGAGGGAGCAGUGGGGAAUCUUAGACGAGGGGGGAAACCCUGAUCAAGCCAUGCCGGGUGAGCGGUGAAGGCCGUAGGGUUGUAAAGCUCUUUGAGCUGGGAAGAUAAUGACGGUACCAGCAGAAGAAGCCCCGGCUAACUCCGUG